UGGAGCACGCAGGUUGUUCCUGGUUACAGCAACGUCGCCUGAUUCAAGAGUUGACUAGGUGCGCCACUAAUUCGGUCUAGUCACUAGUGCACGCAGUCGUCGCCCGCAACUUUGGACCCCGAUAACUCCCAGAGAAAACUAGGCCAGAAGUAUGCACUGACUUGCCUGUCAAUCACCGGUUUAAUUACGUAGUACAAUUAUUACGUGCGAAGCAACACCGGCUGUCACCACCACCAACCGUACAGCACUAACCAUGUGAGAUAGUAUCACGGCCGCGCCGGCCGGCACGUAGUGGCGCCAUCUAUCGGACGACGGCGACGUUUUUCUGUCGGUGGAAGCAAGCUGCGCCCGUUGGUGGACGCGCGGCGGAACGCCCGCACGGGUACGUGGCGGUGACGGUGCAGUGGGAGGAUCCGAGAAUCUGCCGAGGAAUACAAGGAGGAGGAAUCCUUCGUGUCCAAGGAGAAAACAACAAGGAUAUCGGAGAAAGGUCGGCGCCCCGCACGUAUCCGUGUCGUCCCCUGCAGGUCUAGACGGGGCCGCCCGGACGGCUACGUGCCGCCGUUUGUCAGGUCAAGGUCAAGGUGACAGCAAAAUACUCGGCCCUCUGCAGUGUACUAGUUCUAUUUUUUCCGAGAAAAACGGGUAUUUAUUCCUCUGAAAUAGCAUUAGAGUCUGCUAAUACAAGCUUUUUUUAUGCUGUUUGAAACCUGAUGCAAUGAAUAAGCGGUGCUACAUCCAUUUUUCCCUAUAUUAACUAGACUACGCGUAACAUUAUUUUGCUUACAAUCAGUUGCUUACAAUCAAAUCUUACAAUGAAAUCUUAC
rnacentral:lncRNA from 1 species